CUGGUUGAUCCUGCCAGAAGUCACUGCUAUCGGGGUUCGAUUAAGCCAUGCGAGUCGAGAGGGUUCAGACCCUCGGCGGACUGCUCAGUAACACGUGGAUAACCUGGCCUAAGGUGGAGGAUAACCCCGGGAAACUGGGGAUAAUACUCCAUAGAUUAGAGAUACUGGAAUGUUCUUUAAUCGAAAGUUCCGGCGCCUUAGGGUGGAUCUGCGGCCGAUUAGGUAGUUGUUGGGGUAACGGCCCAACAAGCCCGUAAUCGGUACGGGUUGUGGGAGCAAGAGCCCGGAGAUGGAAUCUGAGACACGAUUCCAGGCCCUACGGGGCGCAGCAGGCGCGAAAACUUUACAAUGCAGGAAACUGUGAUAAGGGAACCCCGAGUGCCCGUAUACGCGGGCUGUCCAGGUGUUUAAAAUGCAUCUGAAGAAAGGGCCGGGCAAGACCGGUGCCAGCCGCCGCGGUAAUACCGGCGGCUCGAGUGGUGGCCACUUUUAUUGGGCUUAAAGCGUUCGUAGCUGGAUUUUUAAGUCUCUUGGGAAAUCUGCAGGCCUAACCUGCAGGCGUUUAAGAGAUACUGGGAAUCUAGGAACCGGGAGAGGUAAGAGGUACUCCAGGGGUAGAAGUGAAAUUCUGUAAUCCUUGGGGGACCACCGAUGGCGAAUGCAUCUUACCAGAACGGCUUCGACAGUGAGGAACGAAAGCUGGGGGAGCGAACCGGAUUAGAUACCCGGGUAGUCCCAGCCGUAAACGAUGCGCGUUAGGUGUACCGGUGACCACGAGUCACUGGGGUGCCGAAGGGAAACCGUGAAACGUGCCGCCUGGGAAGUACGGUCGCAAGGCUGAAACUUAAAGGAAUUGGCGGGGGAGCACCAC
rnacentral:rRNA from 1 species